rnacentral:misc_RNA from 1 species
GAUGAAGAACGUAGCGAAAUGCGAUAAGUAAUGUGAAUUGCAGAAUUCAGUGAACCAUCGAAUCUUUGAACGCACAUUGCGCCCGGCAGUAAUCUGCCGGGCAUGCCUGUCCGAGCGUCAUUUCUGCCCUCGAGCGCGGUUAGCUUGCUAUCCGCUGCCCGGUGUUGGGGCGCUACGGUUCAGGGCCUCGUGCCCUGUCGUAGGCCCCGAAAUGAAGUGGCGGUCCCGCCGCGGCGCCCCCUGCGUAGUAGUCUUACAACUCGCAUCGGGACCCGGUGGAGGCCAGCCGUCAACCCAUCCUUCUAUGGUUUGACCUCGGAUCAGGUAGGGUUACCCGCUGAACUUAAGCAUAUCAAUAAGCGGAGGA